CCUACGGGAGGCAGCAGUGGGGAAUAUUGCUCAAUGGGCGAAAGCCUGAAGCAGCGACGCCGCGUGAGGGCUGAAGGUCUUCGGAUCGUAAACCUCUGUCAGCAGGGAAGAACGCUCACUGUGCUAAGCACCAGUGCAUUGACGGUACCUGCAACGGCAGCACAGGCUAACUCCGUACCCGCAGCCGCGGUAAUACGGGGGGUGCGAGCGUUAAUCGGAAUUACUGGGCGUAAAGCGCGCGUAGGCGGUAGGUCAAGUCAAGGGUGAAAUCCCCGGGCUCAACGUGGGAACUGCCUUUGAAACUGGCAAACUGGAGUGUGUGAGAGGAGAGUGGAAU
rnacentral:rRNA from 1 species